AGUAAAGAUAGUAAGGGCAUACGGUGGAUGCCUUGGCUAUACUGGCCGAAGAAGGACGCGGUAAGCUGCGAAAAGCUACGGAGAGGUGCAAGCGACCAUUGACCCGUAGAUAUCCGAAUGGGGGAACCCGGCAGAGAAAAGCUCUGUCACCCAUACCAGAGAGUAUGAGGAGGGCACCUGGGGAACUGAAACAUCUAAGUACCCAGAGGAAAAGUAAUCAAACGAGAUUCUCUUAGUAGCGGCGAGCGAACGGGGAAGAGCCCAAACCGGACUGGUUCGCCAGACCGGGGUUGAGGACUGCUAACAAGCAUAAAUGGGAUAGACGAACCGACUUGGAACGGUCGGCCGAAGAAGGUGAAAGCCCUGUAGUCGAAAUCCUGCAUAUGUGGAGCAGUAUCCAGAGUACCACGAGACACGUGAAACCUUGUGGGAAGCAGGGGGGACCACCCUCCAAGGCAAAAUACCA
rnacentral:ncRNA from 1 species